GGCUAUAUUAUAUCGUAUCGGUAUACCUACGAAACAUUCACGCGACCGUAUCGUAGAGAUUGUUUUAAUUUAAAUAAUCAUUUUUAACCGGGCAAAAUUAAAUAGUUUUUAUAACGUUGUUUCCAUUACGCUUUUUUCUUGUUUGCGGAUUUCCAGGCCUCUAAGGACCAUACCGUCUCACACCCGAUCGCCCAUUGCUUCUCUAUCACAUCGAAAGGCCUAAAA